AGCCGCCUCCGGUGGCAUUCAAGGUGAUGUGCUUGCUACCGAUAACAAUACUGUAGGCAUGGGUGAUGCUGGUAUUAAAUCUGCCAUUCAAGGCUCUAAUGUUCCUAACCCUGAUGAGGCCGUCCCUAGUUUUGUUUCUGGUGCUAUGGCUAAAGCUGGUAAAGGACUUCUUGAAGGUACGUUGCAGGCUGGCACUUCUGCCGUUU
rnacentral:rRNA from 1 species